GGAUAGGCCCCGUAACGGCGAGUGAAGCGGCAAAAGCUCAAAUUUGAAAUCUGCGUAAGCCGAGUUGUAAUUUGAAGAUGGCUACUUUGGUAAUGGCUCUUGUCUAUGUUCCUUGGAACAGGACGUCACAGAGGGUGAGAAUCCCGUGCGAUGAGAUGUCCAUUACCGUGUAAAGUGCUUUCGAAGAGUCGAGUUGUUUGGGAAUGCAGCUCUAAGUGGGUGGUAAAUUCCAUCUAAAGCUAAAUAUUGGCGAGAGACCGAUAGCGAACAAGUACAGUGAUGGAAAGAUGAAAAGAACUUUGAAAAGAGAGUGAAAAAGUACGUGAAAUUGUUGAAAGGGAAGGGCUUGAGAUCAGACUUGGUAUUUUGUAUGGCUUGCUUUCGGGCGGGUCCUCUGCAGUUUACUGGGCCAGCAUCGGUUUGGGUGGCAGGAUAAUAGCGAAGGAAUGUGGCUCUACUUCGGUGGAGUGUUAUAGCCUUUGUUGAUACUGCCUGCCUAGACCGAGGACUGCCUCUUUUCACUAUUAUGGGGGAAUAAUGAUCUUUUUUUGGUGUCCUACCCGUGUAGUGAUUUGAGCACAAAAA
rnacentral:rRNA from 1 species